rnacentral:rRNA from 1 species
UACGUAGGGGGCAAGCGUUGUCCGGAAUCAUUGGGCGUAAAGAGCGCGUAGGCGGCCCGGUAAGUCCGCUGUAAAAGUCCAGGGCUCAACCCUGGAAAGCCGGUGGAUACUGUCGGGCUAGAGUCCGGAAGAGGCGAGUGGAAUUCCUGGUGUAGCGGUGGAAUGCGCAGAUAUCAGGAGGAACACCGGUGGCGAAGGCGGUUCUCUGGGCCUGUACUGACGCUGAGGAACGAAAGCGUGGGGAGCGAACAGG